rnacentral:rRNA from 1 species
AUACGGAGGGUGCAAGCGUUACUCGGAAUCACUGGGCGUAAAGCGCGCGCAGGCGGCUAUUUAAGUUGGAUGUGAAAGCCUACGGCUCAACCGUAGAACUGCAUCCAAAACUAUUAGACUAGAGUGUGGGAGAGGAAGAUGGAAUUAGUUGUGUAGGGGUAAAAUCCGUAGAGAUAACUAGGAAUACCAAAAGCGAAGGCAAUCUUCUGGAACACUACUGACGCUGAGGCGCGAAAGCGUGGGGAGCAAACAGGAUUAGAAACCCCAGUAGUCC